UUGAACGCUGGCGGCAGGCCUAACACAUGCAAGUCGAGCGGUAACACAGAGAGCUUGCUCUCGGGUGACGAGCGGCGGACGGGUGAGUAAUGUCUGGGAAACUGCCUGAUGGAGGGGGAUAACUACUGGAAACGGUAGCUAAUACCGCAUAACGUCGCAAGACCAAAGUGGGGGACCUUCGGGCCUCAUGCCAUCAGAUGUGCCCAGAUGGGAUUAGCUAGUAGGUGGGGUAACGGCUCACCUAGGCGACGAUCCCUAGCUGGUCUGAGAGGAUGACCAGCCACACUGGAACUGAGACACGGUCCAGACUCCUACGGGAGGCAGCAGUGGGGAAUAUUGCACAAUGGGCGCAAGCCUGAUGCAGCCAUGCCGCGUGUGUGAAGAAGGCCUUCGGGUUGUAAAGCACUUUCAGCGGGGAGGAAGGCGGUGAGGUUAAUAACCUCAUCGAUUGACGUUACCCGCAGAAGAAGCACCGGCUAACUCCGUGCCAGCAGCCGCGGUAAUACGGAGGGUGCAAGCGUUAAUCGGAAUUACUGGGCGUAAAGCGCACGCAGGCGGUCUGUCAAGUCGGAUGUGAAAUCCCCGGGCUCAACCUGGGAACUGCAUUCGAAACUGGCAGGCUAGAGUCUUGUAGAGGGGGGUAGAAUUCCAGGUGUAGCGGUGAAAUGCGUAGAGAUCUGGAGGAAUACCGGUGGCGAAGGCGGCCCCCUGGACAAAGACUGACGCUCAGGUGCGAAAGCGUGGGGAGCAAACAGGAUUAGAUACCCUGGUAGUCCACGCCGUAAACGAUGUCGAUUUGGAGGUUGUGCCCUUGAGGCGUGGCUUCCGGAGCUAACGCGUUAAAUCGACCGCCUGGGGAGUACGGCCGCAAGGUUAAAACUCAAAUGAAUUGACGGGGGCCCGCACAAGCGGUGGAGCAUGUGGUUUAAUUCGAUGCAACGCGAAGAACCUUACCUGGUCUUGACAUCCACAGAACUUUCCAGAGAUGGAUUGGUGCCUUCGGGAACUGUGAGACAGGUGCUGCAUGGCUGUCGUCAGCUCGUGUUGUGAAAUGUUGGGUUAAGUCCCGCAACGAGCGCAACCCUUAUCCUUUGUUGCCAGCGGUUCGGCCGGGAACUCAAAGGAGACUGCCAGUGGUAAACUGGAGGAAGGUGGGGAUGACGUCAAGUCAUCAUGGCCCUUACGACCAGGGCUACACACGUGCUACAAUGGCAUAUACAAAGAGAAGCGACCUCGCGAGAGCAAGCGGACCUCAUAAAGUAUGUCGUAGUCCGGAUUGGAGUCUGCAACUCGACUCCAUGAAGUCGGAAUCGCUAGUAAUCGUAGAUCAGAAUGCUACGGUGAAUACGUUCCCGGGCCUUGUACACACCGCCCGUCACACCAUGGGAGUGGGUUGCAAAAGAAGUAGGUAGCUUAACCUUCGGGAGGGCGCUUACCACUUUGUGAUUCAUGACUGGGGUG
rnacentral:rRNA from 1 species